rnacentral:lncRNA from 1 species
UGACUGAAUGUAAAGGUCCUACUAUGUGCCAAGAACCUUCCUAAGUACUGGGGAUAGAAAUAAGAAGAAGACAUUCCCUGCCUUCCAGGAGCUUAUGAUCUAAUGCUGGAAGAUACACACAAGGAAGCUGAAAUGCAGCAGAGAGAGUACCUGGUACCAUACUGAUGGUGGAGUCAAAAUGAAGCAGUACAGCUGGUGGGAAAGGAAGAGAUACUCUCUGAAGUCCCUUCCAGCUCUGCAUUUCAAUUAAUCUAUGAAAGACCCCUGAGUUCAAUAGACUUCUAACUCACUAAAAUCAGAGGACUUGGGUUCAAGACCUAGUUUUGCUACUUACCAGCAAUGUGGGGUUAGGCAAGUUAUUGCUUCUCUCUGGGACUCAGUGUGCCUCUCUGCAAAAUCUGACCUGGAUGAAUUCUAAGAGCUCUCUCAACUCUGUCAUUCUAUGUUCUACAUUCUUUUCCAUUGAGGAUGCUCUGUGUUGUCUGAAGGAUUGUGCUUUCUGUGUUAAGGUUCUUUCUAGCUUGGGAAAUUCUGUCACUGUCAUUCUUCUGCAAGAAGGUCUCAGGCUGCUGGGAAGAAUGAAGAGAGUGGGUUGAGGAAAAGGGUGAAGGCUUUACUGCACAGCAUGAGCUGGACUGCCUCACAGUACAUAGCACAUUUUUGGAACCAUUACCAUCCAAAAGUACUUCCCAAAGAAGAUGCUGAAAUGUGCCGCUGGAAAGCAAAUUUGUCUAUGGCUACACAUAAGGGGGCGAUUGUCCCAGGCAGAUUCUUCAAUGAGAAUUCCACGAAGACACAGAACAGAAGAGCAUCAUAACCUAGGGAAAAGAGCUCCAGAUUUAGAAUCAGGGGACUUCUGUUCAGAUACUGGCUUUUCUACAUAUCCCAGCUAAGUUUCCUUCAAUCAAUCAGCUAAUCAGCAGUAUGUAAUGAAUAUUUCCUAUGUGCUAGGAACUGGAAAUAUCAAGAUAAAUAUGUGACAGUUUCUCCCUUCAAGGAACCUAUAUUGUAUUAGGGAAGAUAUAGAUCUAUAUACAAAAUACAUCAUAAAUAUAUGGUAGUUGAGAGAGAAACAUUUGUAUCUCAGGGAAUCAGGAAAGGCCUCAGAUUUAAAAGGUGGCAUUUGAAUUGAAAUUUGAAGUUAAAAAACAGAUUCUAAAAGGCAGAGAUAAGGAGACAAUAUAGUCUCAGCAUGGAAGACAGUUCUCAGGCACAGAAAUGACAAGUAGAGUGUUAUGUCUGAGGAAAAGCAAAGAGAACAGUCUGACUGUACUGCUUGAGGCAGGGAGGGGAGUAAUACGCAACUAGGCUGGAAAAGCAGUUUGAGGCCAAGUUGUGAAGGUCUUUACAUUCAAAAUAAAGGAGUGUGUAUUUGAUCCUGGAGACA